UAGGGAAUCUUCGGCAAUGGGGGCAACCCUGACCGAGCAACGCCGCGUGAGUGAAGAAGGUUUUCGGAUCGUAAAGCUCUGUUGUAAGUCAAGAACGAGUGUGAGAGUGGAAAGUUCACACUGUGACGGUAGCUUACCAGAAAGGGACGGCUAACUACGUGCCAGCAGCCGCGGUAAUACGUAGGUCCCGAGCGUUGUCCGGAUUUAUUGGGCGUAAAGCGAGCGCAGGCGGUUUGAUAAGUCUGAAGUUAAAGGCUGUGGCUCAACCAUAGUUCGCUUUGGAAACUGUCAAACUUGAGUGCAGAAGGGGAGAGUGGAAUUCCAUGUGUAGCGGUGAAAUGCGUAGAUAUAUGGAGGAACACCGGUGGCGAAAGCGGCUCUCUGGUCUGUAACUGACGCUGAGGCUCGAAAGCGUGGGGAGCAAACAGGAUUAGAUACCCUGGUAGUCCACGCCGUAAACGAUGAGUGCUAAGUGUUGGUCUCAUAAGAGAUCAGUGCUGCAGCUAACGCAUUAAGCACUCCGCCUGGGGAGUACGACCGCAAGGUUG
rnacentral:rRNA from 1 species